GUGCCAGCAGCCGCGGUAAUACGGAGGGUGCGAGCGUUAAUCGGAAUUACUGGGCGUAAAGCGCAUGCAGGUGGUUAGUUAAGUCAGGUGUGAAAGCCCGGGGCUCAACCUCGGAAUUGCAUUUGAAACUGGCUGACUAGAGUACUGUAGAGGGGGGUAGAAUUUCAGGUGUAGCGGUGAAAUGCGUAGAGAUCUGAAGGAAUACCGGUGGCGAAGGUGGCCCCCUGGACAGAUACUGACACUCAGGUGCGAAAGCGUGGGGAGCA
rnacentral:rRNA from 1 species